CAUACCAUCACAGUAGAAACAUUAGUCAUGUUACCUAAGGUCCUGCAGACACUAUAUAGAUAAAUACAAUUACACUAAUUAUAUACAUGUAACACAUAAAAUUAAGGAACAAAGAGGUGACCAGGGAUUAUCUCAGCAAGCGGACCCCAACGGUACUAAGGAACUCUGACUUUGGGGACCCAGCAUACCAGCAAUGGUUAAAAAACAUUGAGGAGUGGAAUGACGAUUAUCCUGCCUGAAGAAGCACACAUUGGCGCGAUACGGGACCGUGGCCGCCGUCCGAGCUUCCCCCUUAUUCCAUCUGCGUCUCCCUGCAGAGGUUGCCAAUGUUCAGACCUCCGUGAAUUAAGCCUGAAUUGAAGGCCUCCAGCAGUAAUGGCUUACACAGAACUGCCAAUACGAUUCCAGAGGAUUCCUUUUCCCAACUGCAUUAUCUUACAAAUGGAAACAUGGAACUGAAUGGAUGUGAUGUGAUUUUUUCAUACAGCAAAAC